AUUUCCUGUUGUAAAAUGUGCACUCUUAUGAUUUUAAAUGUUGAUAUAGUGCUAGGUUAUGCAUUUACUUCUUUCUGAAAAGAAAUAAACAUCUUCAGAUGCUACCUUAACCAGGGCUGCAUGUCAAAGCCCAUUAUAUGUCAUUCUGUGAUAUGAGGGUAAGUUUGUGGGUUUUUAUGCCAGAUCUAGUUUACAUUCCUGCAAGACUUUUGUGGAUAUUUAUUUUGCAGUACUUCCAUACAUGUCUGUGUACUUUCUGGUCAUGUAUCGUGUAAUGCAUGACUACUUAGCUCUCAACUAUAAUUUUUUGAUAUUUAACAUUUGUUUUUGUUGAUUUUUCAUCCAUAUUUUUUAUACAGUCUAUACUGAGUGUUAUUUAAUGAACAAUGAAUAAUGUUGUAAAGUUUGUUUUUACUUCAAAUUUUCAUUUCAAUUCUAAUGCUGAUAAUUUUUUUAACUUUAACUUUUCUCUCAAAUUUUAAUGCUAAUACUAUAUAUUCUAAUAAACAAAAAUAUUUAAUAGAAACAUUCAAAACAUAAGCUUUUUCGCUAGUGAUUUCAGACUGUACCCCGCACUGUAUAGACAGUAAAAUGCAUUUUUCUUUUUGUCAGAACUGUGCCAGUUCCAGGCCUUCCAGUUCAGUGGGCAGUUCUCGGCCGGGCAGCUCUCCACUACCAGGUGUUUUGGACGGGCAAACAGUCACUACCAGCCACUCCAGCAGUUCAUUGACCCACAGCGACAGCAUCACCCAGAAUUUUGACAAAACAAGGCAUCUGUCCCUCCCCUGUGUCCACGACAACCUAAAUGAAGACUUGCGAUGCCCUGACAGUGGUGUCCACCUCUCUGGACAGUGCACUGUACCAGGUGGCCCAUUUAGCUACCCCUGAACAUGGACUACAGCCCUUCUAGAACCUUUAUGAACUUCCGCCAGUGUGUCAAUCACUAAGUGAGUGGCAGGGCUUCCUGUUUUGGCCGGGUGAGGUUACACAUCCUGGCAGGGGAGCUGCUGUCAGCCACAGGACCUCACGCUAGUCGUGUCUCCCACACACACACACACACAGUUGUUCAGCCCCACAGGGAUCUCCUGAACUUGCAGGCUCUUGACACACCAGCAGAGGUGCUGCACUGAUUCCUGUUUGACUUCACACCUGCACAGUGCUGUCAGGACUUCUUUCUCGGCCACACGAGAGGUCAAUCACACUUCAGUCAAAGCUAAUUAAACAUUUUUUGUGCCAAAAGAAAGAAAAUGAAUCUGAAAAUACACAGAGACUGCAGAAUGACAAAAAUGAAGUGUUUGUCAGUAAACACGUGAAUAACUGCUAGUCUCUUAACAUAUUUUUAAAUCACAUUUUU
ensembl:lncRNA